AAGAAAUCGUAGCCGGCGUGUCGCUUAUGCUGUAAAAAAACGGGGCUUAUUACCGGUUCAGCAGUCGAUACAGGCAUGCUAGAGGUAGGUAGGAGAGACAGGAAUUAUUGGUGUAGCGGUGAAAUAAGCAGAAAUCAUGAGGAACACCGGUGGGGAAGGACUGGUCUCUGGUCGUUACCUGACGCUGAGGAGGGAAAGCAGGGGGAGGCAACAGCAUUAUAUAACCUCGUAGUCCAUCCCGUAAACGUUGGGUGAUAGGUGUGGGUACUUUGCUCGGUUUCCUUUCCGUAGCUAGCAGCAUUCGCCCCGCCUUGGGGAGUACGGCCGCAAGGCUAAAACUCAAAGGAAUUGACGGGGGGGGCACAAGCGGCGGAGCAUGUUGCUUAAUUCGUCGCAACGCGAAGAACCUUACCAACGUUUGACAUCACCCGUGGACUCGCAGAGAUGUGAGGUCAUUUAGUUGGCGGGUGACAGGUG
rnacentral:rRNA from 1 species